ensembl:snRNA RNU1-86P RNA, U1 small nuclear 86, pseudogene
AUACUUCCCUGACAGGGGAGAUACCUAGGAAUCCAACUUCCCAGGGCAAGACUGAUCUAUUGCACUAUGGAUGUGCCGACCCCUGAGAUUUACAAAAUUGUGGGAAACUCAACUGCAUAAUUUAUGGAAAUGAAGGACUGUGUUUGCGCUUUCA